AACGAACGCUGGCGGCGCGUUUAAGCAUGCAAGUCGAACGAGAAAGGUGCCUUCGGGUGCUUAGUAAAGUGGCAAACGGGUGAGUAACACGUAGUCAACCUACCGUUUAGUGGGGGAUAACGACAAGAAAUUGUCGCUAAUACCGCAUACGCUUAUUGAUACACAUGUGUUGAUAAGGAAAGUAGUGAUACGCUAAAUGACGGGACUGCGGCUCAUUAGCUAGUUGGUGAGGUAAUGGCUCACCAAGGCGACGAUGGGUAGCCGGCCUGAGAGGGUGAACGGCCACAUUGGGACUGUGACACGGCCCAGACUCCUACGGGAGGCAGCAGCUAAGAAUCUUCCGCAAUGGACGCAAGUCUGACGGAGCGACGCCGCGUGGAUGAUGAAGGCCUUAUAGGUUGUAAAAUCCUUUUCUAUAGGACGAAUGUUGGUGAGACAUCCAGUUGACGGUACUAUAGGAAUAAGCCCCGGCUAAUUACGUGCCAGCAGCCGCGGUAAUACGUAGGGGGCGAGCGUUGUUCGGAAUUAUUGGGCGUAAAGGGUGCGUAGGUUGAUGUGUAAGUUGGAUGUGCAAUUCAGGGGCUCAACUUCAGAACUGCGUCCAAAACUGCAUAUCUAGAGGUUGGCAGAGGUUAGCGGAAUUUCUGGUGUAGGAGUGAAAUCUAUAGAUAUCAGAAAGAACACCGGUGGCGAAGGCGGUUAACUGGGCUAUACCUGACACUGAAGCACGAAAGCCAGGGGAGCGAACGGGAUUAGAUACCCCGGUAGUCCUGGCCGUAAACGUUGUAUACUAGGUGUAUGAGGCAUCGAUCCCUCAUGUGCCGAAGCAAACGCAUUAAGUAUACCGCCUGGGGAGUACGGUCGCAAGACUG
rnacentral:rRNA from 1 species